AGUGAACGCUGGCGGCAGGCCUAACACAUGCAAGUCGAACGGCAGCACAGUAAGAGCUUGCUCUUCCGGGUGGCGGAGGGGGGGCGGGUGAGGAGAGUAUCGGACCCUUCUUUUUCGGGGGGCUUAAGGAAGGGAAAGUUAAUCCAGUACAGCAUCUCCUCCAGGGGGGAAGGGGGGGGAUCUUGGCACCUGUCGGGUUUGAAUUAGCGGCUUCGGGAUUGGUUGGUUGGGGGGGUAAAGACCCACCCAGGCGACGAUCCGUAGCUGGUCUGAGUGGCUGAUCGGCCACACUGGAACUGAGACACGGUCCAGACUCCUACGGGAGGCAGCAGUGGGGAAUAUUAGACAAUGGGCGCAAGCCUGAUCCAGCCAUACCGCGUGGGUGAAGAAGGCCUUCGGGUUGUAAAGCCCUUUUGUUGGGAAAGAAAAGCAGCAGGUUAAUACCCCGCUGUUCUGACGGUACCCAAAGAAUAAGCACCGGCUAACUUCGUG
rnacentral:rRNA from 1 species